UUUAUGCCCUUUCUGAAAGGCUGCUCCUGAAAGGGAGGUUACCCUUUGAAAGCGCAGGUCCAUUG
rnacentral:rRNA from 1 species